CUAAGGAAUAAUACGGAAACUGCACAUAUCGAAAAGUUAUUCAGUUUUGAGAGAUCUACUCAUGGAUCUGUAGCUCGGCUGGUUUAGAGCGCACGCCUGAUAAGCGUGAGGUCGAUGGUUCGAGUCCAUUCAGAUCCAUCAAUGGGGCCUUAGCUCAGUUGGGAGAGCGCCUGCUUUGCACGCAGGAGGUCAGGAGUUCGACUCUCCUAGGCUCCAUUGAUGACGAAUAGUCGUCAAAACUUGUUCUUUGAAAACUAGAUAAUAAUUUAUUUCUUUAUAAAACCGAGAACACCGCGUUUUAAAGAGUUUAAAACAAGAAAAAGUUCUUAAUCGCUAAACUCAUAGACCACUAUCAGAAAGAUAGUUGA
rnacentral:tRNA from 1 species